CUAGUCACUGGUGUAGUCAGCAGAAUUCACAUACCAAGGUCAAGAGCCUUGGGAAGAAGAGGUGAAGGAGCCUGAGAACCCUUCUGCCCCAGACAUCAGAGAGGAGUCCACUGAACUGGAAGUGGCCUGUUUGCAGCACUUGAGAGCCCAGGAAGACUGUGAGCAUCAAAGACUGAUGAAGAAAUUGCAAGUCAGCAAGACCAAAGCAGUCAAGACAGCUGAGGAGAAAGCCCCCCAAAGAUGCAUAAAACAAAUAGCAGCAGUCAAAACCAACAAAGAAGUUGAGGAGAGGGCACACAAGAGGCAGAUGGAAGUUCAAACAUUGCAGCUCAAAUUACUGAAGCAGCAGAAGGAGCUUCCCCAUCCACAGGGCAAAUCUUGAGACCGCCUCAAAUUUACUGAGGGGAGCUAUGCACCAGCCUGACCAGGACAGGCCUAUGAGGAAACCUGACUUCAGGUGGCCCUGCUAAUCGACUUACUUCACACCCUUUCAGUGCCAACAGGGUUUUCUCCAGACUGACGAUAAAACUGAAAACCAC